rnacentral:rRNA from 1 species
ACGGGGUGCAGCAGGCGCGAAACCUUUGCAAUACACGAAAGUGUGACAGGGCUAUCCCGAGUGCCAUCCGCUGAGGAAGGCUUUUACCCAGUCUAGAAAGCUGGGGGAAUAAGGAGAGGGCAAGUCUAGUGUCAGCCGCCGCGGUAAUACCAGCUCUCCGAGUGGUGUGGAUGUUUAUUGGGCCUAAAGCAUCCGUAGCUGGCCAAGUUAGUCCCCUGUUAAAUCCACCGGAUUAAUCGUUGGAUUGCGGGGGAUACUGCUUGGCUAGGGGACGAGAGAGGCAGACGGUAUUUUUGGGGUAGGGGUGAAAUCCUAUAAUCCCAGGAAGACCACCAGUGGCGAAGGCUGUCUGCUAGAACGCGCCCGACGGUGAGGGAUGAAAGCUGGGGGAGCGAACCGGAUUAGAUACCCGGGUAGUCCCAGCUGUAAACGAUGCAGGCUAGGUGUUUGGACGGCCACGUGCCGUUCUAGUGCCGCAGGGAAGCUGUUAAGCCUGCCGCCUGGGGAGUACGAUCGCAAGAUUGAAACUUAAAGGAAUUGGCGGGGGAGCAC